rnacentral:rRNA from 1 species
UACGUAGGGUGCAAGCGUUGUCCGGAAUUAUUGGGCGUAAAGAGCUCGUAGGCGGUCUGUCGCGUCGGCUGUGAAAACCCGGAGCUCAACUCCGGGCCUGCAGUCGAUACGGGCAGACUGGAGUUCGGCAGGGGAGACUGGAAUCCUGGUGUAGCGGUGGAAUGCGCAUAUAUCAGGAGGAACACCGUAUGCGAAGGCAGGUCUCUGGGCCGAUACUGACGUGAGGAGCGAAAGCGUGGGGAGCGAACAGGAUUAGAUACCCGGA